rnacentral:rRNA from 1 species
GAUGAACGCUGGCGGCGUGCUUAACACAUGCAAGUCGAACGGAGUGCUCAUGACGGAGGAUUCGUCCAACGGAUUGAGUUACUUAGUGGCGAACGGGUGAGUAACGCGUGAGGAACCUGCCUCAAAGAGGGGGACAACAGUUGGAAACGACUGCUAAUACCGCAUAAGCCCACAGCUCCGCAUGGAGCAGGGGGAAAAGGAGUGAUCCGCUUUGAGAUGGCCUCGCGUCCGAUUAGCUAGUUGGUGAGGUAACGGCCCACCAAGGCGACGAUCGGUAGCCGGACUGAGAGGUUGAUCGGCCACAUUGGGACUGAGACACGGCCCAG